GACGAACGCUGGCGGCGUGCUUAACACAUGCAGGUCGAACGGAAAGGCCCUGCUUUUGUGGGGUGCUCGAGUGGCAAACGGGUGAGUAACACGUGAGUAACCUGCCCUUGACUUUGGGAUAACUUCAGGAAACUGGGGCUAAUACCGGAUAGGAGCUCCUGCUGCAUGGUGGGGGUUGGAAAGUUUCGGCGGUUGGGGAUGGACUCGCGGCUUAUCAGCUUGUUGGUGGGGUAGUGGCUUACCAAGGCUUUGACGGGUAGCCGGCCUGAGAGGGUGACCGGCCACAUUGGGACUGAGAUACGGCCCAGACUCCUACGGGAGGCAGCAGUGGGGAAUAUUGCACAAUGGGCGGAAGCCUGAUGCAGCAACGCCGCGUGCGGGAUGACGGCCUUCGGGUUGUAAACCGCUUUCGCCUGUGACGAAGCGUGAGUGACGGUAAUGGGUAAAGAAGCACCGGCUAACUACGUG
rnacentral:rRNA from 1 species